rnacentral:rRNA from 1 species
GACGAACGCUGGCGGCGCGCUUAACACAUGCAAGUCGAGCGAGAACCAGCCCUUCGGGGCUGGGGACAGCGGCGAACGGGUGAGUAACACGUGGGUAAUCUGCCCUCGGCAUCGGGAUAGCCCGGGGAAACCCGGAUUAAUACCGAAUAGCCUCCGGAGCCUUCGGGCGCCGGAGAAAAGGUAGCUUCGGCCUCUGGCCGAGGAUGAGCCCGCGGCGGAUUAGCUUGUUGGCGGGGUAACGGCCCACCAAGGCGACGAUCCGUAGCUGGUCUGAGAGGACGAUCAGCCACACUGGGACUGAGACACGGCCCAGACUCCUACGGGAGGCAGCAGUGGGGAAUCUUGCGCAAAUGCGGGAAACCGUGACGCAGCGACGCCGCGUGGGGGAAGAAGGCCUUCGGGUUGUAAACCUCUUUCAGGAGGGACGAAGCUACUCGGGUUAAUAGCCCAGAGGGUGACGGUACCUCCAGAAGAAGCCCCGGCUAACUACGUGCCAGCAGCCGCCGCAGUAA